rnacentral:rRNA from 1 species
UACAGAGGUCCCGAGCGUUGUUCGGAUUCAUUGGGCGUAAAGGGUGCGUAGGCGGCGGGGCCAGUCUGAUGUGAAAUCCCAGGGCUCAACCUUGGAACUGCAUUGGAUACUGCCUUGCUAGAGUACUGGAGAGGGAACUGGAAUUUACGGUGUAGCAGUGAAAUGCGUAGAGAUCGUAAGGAAGGCCAGUGGCGAAGGCGAGUUCCUGGACAGUGACUGACGCUGAGGCACGAAGGCCAGGGGAGCAAACGGG